rfam:Streptomyces sp. MTSC 93 45, whole genome shotgun sequence.
GGGAGCCCGGUGCGUCGAGAGGCGCACGCCGGGUUCGGCGAGCGGCACGGGGAAACGGACCGGCAGCAAUGCCGAUGCCGCGCCCCGUGCCGACUCAAU